GCCUGAGUAGCACAGCGGUUGAGCGUCUGCCUUCAGCUCAGGGCGUGAUCCCGGUGUUGUGGGAUCGAGCCCCACAUCAGGCU
rnacentral:tRNA from 1 species